UCGGCUGAGAGUGACCUCGGCUGCGUCUGACCUCGGCUGGGAUCACGGCUGCGUCCUCCGUGCUUUCCUUCCUAUGAAAACCUCGCUCAGGAACACGAGGAGCGACAGCAGAUUGCCUGGAGUGUCAGCGGGGUAAUACUCUCCCCCGGACGACCCCGCCUAGGCCGCCCUCCCCCCCUCCCUGCCUCUUGGCCUCACCUCCAGCAUAGACCGUGAAGACGCCGUAGAAGUCGCCGAGGUCCAGGGGUCGGAGGGCGUCGCUCGGCCGCGUGAAGUCGUCCAUCUGACACUUGCGGAGGUGCUGGAUCUGCUCCCUGUAGAGGUGCUCCGGGAUGCCGAACUCGAUCAGCCGCUGAAGUCUGCGUGCGGAACCAGUGCAAGAUGUAACAGCCAUCGCCCUCUGUGCUAUACGACACAGGUCACACGGCACGAGGCACUCGAGAUUCAAGAUUUACAGAGGGCGCCUCUACGACCAAGGCCAUGUUUUCGGCUGCUAUGUGCCCCUGUGCCAGCAUGGCUGCCUUCAGGACUGGCACUUUUACCUGGAAGACGGUAGUCGCCCUCCUGUUUCCAUUACUUUUUGUUCACGUAUUAGGUGGUGGAACCGUCGUCUUUCAUUUACAACUUCGCAAGUGUACGAGAAACUAUAAUACUUUUAUAAUAUAACGAGCAAACAUAACAUAACAUAAUAGACUCUGUACUAUA
rnacentral:lncRNA from 1 species